AAGUACAAAUACAACAACAUUGCGCAUACUAUGCAUCGCAGUCGAAAUAAGAGCGCAGUGCAUUGAAAUGUAGACGUCUGCUUUUGAUCCUUACUUCAACUCCAACUGAGCUAGCUAGCCAUCAUAAUUUCACAUUGCAAGUUGAAUCUAUUGUAUGAUUGGCCAGCUUCUUGGUGAACUGUUGUUUAGACCCAUCUGAUCAAGAACUGAGCUUUGCCAGCAACUUGACGAAUCCUACUCAUUAUGUGUUACCUUGUUACCUGUGGGAAGUGCGAGAAGAAGACAUGGAAAGGAUGCGGCAAACACGCCGAGCAGGUGAUGAAAGACGUGCCUGAGGGAGAAAGAUGCAAGUGUCCGAGAGGAAGCUAAAAUGGUAUCUAAAGGAUGCUCAACUCUUCAAUCAUACAUUACCAUGUGUCAUGAUGUUCUAUCAAGUACUAUGUGGGUUAGGGAAGGAGGAAGGGGUUGGGGGGGGGGGGGGAUGGAGGACGAUGGUGGAAGAAAAAUGGGGGAUGGGGAGUGGAGGGGUUGGGAGGGGCUUAUAGUUAUCACUUGGAGCGGAUGCCGGUUCUACAGUGUAGAUUAAUAUUUUCCCUCACGUGGAGAUUUAUUAAAAUACUCUGGAGCGAAAGAAAUAUUAUUUGUUAUCCUUCAGUCGAUUUCAAUGACACCUGAACUUUAUGAAAAGAUUUUUUAAAAUUUAAAUUCUGGAGCAGGAUUUUGUCAUUGAUUUUUUGUUGUUGCUGUUGCUGUUGUUGAAAAAAGAUGAGGGAAAAAACUAAUAAUCUUUAUUUAGACCUGACAUAAGAAAGCUAAGAGGAUCAUUGAAAACUUACAAAAAAGCAGAAGUACACACACACAUAUCACUUGUAGGAAUAUCUGUCAAAGCUUUGCAUGUGAUAACAAUUAUUAAAAAACAGUCACCAGAAACAGUGAAACAAGUCGGUCAUAUUUAGAUUUGAUGAAACUAUGCAAACACCAGGGAAAUGAGGGAAAAAUGGAUUCAGGCAUCUCAUCUUCAUUAUUGAUUUAAAUUUUAUUGUGAGUUGUACUUGUAAACUUCCGAUAUGUAGGUGGCAUUGUCUAAAGUGACAUAUACGCCCAUUGCUUGUAAAUAUCUUCAUUGAAGCACAUGGUAUUACGUUUGAUUGCUAUACAUGGUUUUGUUGUUGUUUUUGUUCAAAUAUAUAUAUUAUUUGUAUACUAGUCAUUUUGCUGCAAAGAUAUCUAGAUUUUAUAUAUGAUCUGAAGUGCAUAGACAGAUUAUUAAAUGCUUAUGAUCCAACUGAUAUGAUUCAGAAAUAGUGACGAAAAGAACCGUCAUGGAUUACUGAAUUAAUACAUAAUAACCCACCAAUAUUGUGAAAGUUUUAAUUAUUAAUUGUUUGUGUUAUAAGUAGUCAAACCUCAUCACUAAGAACUGUGUUAUAUCAAACUCUCAUUAUAACAAGGUAAUUUGGGGUCUCUUCUCUCUGUAUUCCAAUUUCCAAUGUUUUUUUAGCCCUGAUAUAACAGGGUUGAGGUGUAACAUGGUAAUAUUCUUUGGUGCCAGGUUUUGUAUUAACAAGGUUCAUUUUAAUAUUCAAACAAUAUAUUGCUCUGUUCCUUUGGUAGAAAUAAGGUUUUUGUAAUAACUUUAGGCUUGUCUAGAGCCCAUGAUGCAAAGCUUUAUGGACCAUUCUAGGGGUUACCGAAUGCAGUAUUUCAUUGUCAUGCACAAACUUCCAAGAAAGUGCUGUAUGUUAAAAUGAUGUGUGGAUCCUUGCUACCAGUACCGUAUAUGUUAAAUGAGCACUUGUUAUGCAUUUAAAGGGAAACCAUGCUAUGUUGUCUCCUGUUCAAGACAAAAAUUGAUCAUUGUACAUUUCAUCAGAUUCUAGUUCCAUAAGUAAGAGAGGCACAGUUGCCUUAUUCAAUUCUGGUUGCUGUAUGUAAGAUUAGCAAUCUUAUUGAUGCAUGCUAGUUACAAAGGCUCCUUCUCAAGUAAUGUGAUAAAUCACAUUGGUUUACCAUUUUCAGUUUUUUUUCUUCUUUUCUUUUAGAUAAAUGGGGAUGAGAAAAAAUAUCUGCAUGUAAUGAAAAAUAUAUUGUGCAUAUCCAUCACGCAAGGUGCUCGUAAGUUACCUCAGCUCUGCUGAACAACAUCACAGUACAUUAAGCACGAUCAAUAGUGUACUGGGCAUCUCAAUGUGCACAUCAGUGUCCUUGCCAUUUGAAACCACGCGCAUUUCAUCACGUCUUGAUUUUGUAGAUCUGCACAUCUGCACAUCUUUGCUGCGUUUAAUCGCUUUUAACUGUGCACUAUCAUUUUUUGAUUGGAACUUUUUUUUGGUAGGAAAGAAUGAUGUACGGUCAUGUGGUGUUAUUUUACCAAUAAGAUUGUCUACAUUCUAGAAUCCUUUUAUGAUCCUUUCAUUUGACAACGUUUCUCACAACAUUUGUAAAGUAUCCUGAGGUAAUGACAUGUACACACCUCUUUGUAUUAUUCUGAUGAGAAAUAUUUUGCUGCAUAUGAUGAAUGUUAAAGUUAGUAGCAUUUAGCUCACUUCAAACGAAAUGAAAUGAAAAUGAAUUUCAAGAAAAAUUGGGGAAACCAUGCCUGAUAUGGGUACAGUUGUCAAUGAAGUACUUUCAAUAAUUCAUUAUUUGGGGUAAAUACUGUAUUCUCAUAUAUUUGUUUAACAUGAUUGUAUUAUAUCUUCAGAGAGUUAUCAAGUAUUUGGGAAUAUCUUGCUUUGUUGUUAUCUAUAUUAGAAGCUAAAAUCACUCAACGAAUUGUAAUUUAAACAAAUCUCGAGUUUAAUAAGAAAGCAAUGCUACUCUCUUUGAGAAUUCAGAUGAACAUAAGUCUUGUAUUUAUUCCACUGUUUUAAGACUGGUUGCUGCAUGUUAAUUGAAAUUGUGAUUUUCCUUACUGAGAAAAGUAUUUAUGUUUGUAUUUUAUCACAUAAAUAAAGAGAUAUGAAUAUAAAGUCAAAUAA